CCCCUGCCUCCAGCUUCUGGCUAACAAAACUCAAAGGUCUCAAGAUUUUGACUGAGUUGGAGAGUGUUAUUUGACUGAUACUGGUGAAAGCAGUCUAUGUGAACCAUUGCUGUCACAUCAGCUCUCUGGUUUCUGUGUGUGUUUCAAGGGUUGCUUUCAAUUUGUGGCAAAUAGGAGGGCUUCCAGCAUGGGGCAGGUUUAGGGAGGUGUUUGCUUCUGAAAACCAAAAACAUCUGUUCCGUUUCUGUGAUGGGUAGCUUUAUUCUGUUUUCUCAGGCCUGCUGGGUGGAUGAACUUUCCUUUUUUUCCUCAAGCUACUUCACUAGCAUGUUGUGUACUUUGAUGUAUUGGCUUGUCUAGAAGGGAUUCACAUCCUGAAAGUCACCCAGAGUUCUCUUUGAUGGACUUUGGCCAAGGAACGUGACUUGGACAAGAGCAUGUGUUGUGAUCCUUGUGGAACUACUAGCAUGCUUUUCAUGUGACUAAAUUAAAUCCUGGCUUGACUGUUGGGCUGAACUUCUCAUUGUAGCACUUCAGCAAUUCUGGUUGUGCCAAGGCACAUACGUUUUGGGGAAAGGUAGCUGUGGCCAACUGCUAAAGCUGUCAAAGCAGAGGAGCUUUGCAAGGCAACUUUGCAGCUGCCUAUAAAAUUCUUUGCCACCUGCUCUGCAUGCCAUAGCUUGGAACCUCUGCUGUCCUUGCAGAUGGACUCUCCAUGCGAUAACAUAGAACUGGCCUUUCUAGUUUUCAGUUCUGUCUCUCUGAUCUUGUUUUUGGAAGAAAUUGGUUGUCUGCAUUGGCAUGUGGAGACAACAUUUUAGAUGUGUUGUUAGUUGUUAAUCUGUCACUGUCUCUGCUGUUUGAUAUCCCUGAGAAAGUAGAAGUCCAAUUGGAUGGCUACAGAAGAAGGUAAAUGACUUGCUCAUCCAUAAUGGUGGAAACAUCUCCAGUGUCAUUGAGGCAGACUUCUAAGUAUUCAUUUAAUUAUAUUUAAUGACUUCAGCACUAGGUAGAGCUAAAGGAACAGAGUGUUAUCUACUAUGUUCUCUGUACUGUGCAACUUUUCAGUACAGAAUUUGCCAACAAAGACCCUGCACCUCCCUCCCAUUAAGUGUAGAACCAAGGAAUUCCUGUCCUAUUUUAGCCCUAAAACAAGCUUUCCAUAUGCAUCUGAGUGUAAGUACUGGGGAAGGGGGCUUUAUAGUUAGCCUUGUUAGGAGACCUUGUCCUUGCUGUAAUGCAGUUAGCCAACUGCAAAAUGCUCAAUGACUUUGAUUAAUUGUUGGCAUUUUAUAUACGCACAAUGCACCUACCGCUAGGUAAGAUGGUGUUACUUGGUGCUGGUGUUAAAAAUAGGAGAACUGGGGUUGGGACUCCAAUGAAAUGCAUCUUCAGAGUAUUUACUGAUGGUAAGUAAUCACAGAGCGAUCGGUUACAAGUGGUGAGGAGAGGUGUCACUUCAUAGAAAAUUAUUAUUGUUUAAGCCCUUAUUAUUUUCAGCAUAAAGCUUUUGAAAUCAGAUAUUUGUCUUGCUUUAAGUGAACACUGCAAUUUGUAGGGAGGAAAGGUGACGUCAGGAUUCUUCCACUGCUUUUGGGACAUGGGCGAUUCUGGAUGACUUCUUGUGGCAAAGGAGAGGCAAGCAGAGCUUAAGAACUGACAAAAUGGGACGGGGAAAAUUGCAAAGAGAUGUUUGAAAAUAAGUAUAUCCCUCGGUUACUUGAAGUAAAACACCUACUGACUAUUUGGCCCUGCACUGUGGUUUGGUUGCUUUUACAGCAUGAAGUUAUGACCAACAAGUGUCUGCCUCUGUGUUGUAGUCUUCAUGAGCACUCUUUACAAACCUGGUAGUUGAAAACUUUUUUUUUUUGCACAAAGUUUUUUUUUUUUUUAAGAAUUUUGCAGGUCUUUUAGUUGCUGGAUUCUAACUUAUUGGGACAACAAUGUUCUUUUGUAACUUUAAAAAUGCAUUUUUUUUUAAUGUGCUGCAGUCUGAAAUUUGCAAAAGGUGCCAUUGCGUUGCUUCUCAUGGUACAAGAAAUGCACAUUGAACUUGAUUUCCUUUUUAUUGUUGUGUAUUGGUAGAGUACAAAAAGGAAAAUGCGCUGUGCCUAAAACAUGAGUGAAGCUAUGGACAAAACCUUGGUUUGUACGGAUGGGAUUUGACUUCCCAGGGUAGCAGCAAAUAACGCGGGGGAGAUGUUGCUGUUACCAGUCUGUAACGAAGCUUGUGCAGAAGCUUGGUUUUUCUCUAAAGCUCGUUGUUUCCCUUUUUUCCUUAUUGUUUCUAUAGUAAGAAAAUGACUGGCCAAAUGUUAAUUGCAGAUCUGACUGUUCGUUGUGGGUGUUUCCAUGUUGGACGUGUAUGGCCUGUUGCACGGUUUGUUUCUUGGCCUUUUGAGGAUUCUGUGAGAAGCAGGGAAGAAAUUUCCUUUAUCCAGACAUCAACCAAACUGCUUACAAAAACGUUGACAGCACUGGUAAUGCUUCUGUCCCUAAAUCUCAGGAAUGUUUCGGGCAGUGAAACAGGUUUCCCUUUGGUGAUAUAGAGGUGCGUGCUCUAGGGUCUUGUUUAACAAUAUUUCAUUGCAAUCCUAGGUAUCUAUAGCAUGAGUGGCCUUAGUGAGUUUGUUGAAGUGCACAUUUUUUUUUUCAAAAGUAAAUUUUAAGAUGAAAAAGAUAUAUACUAUAUAAAUAUAUAGAGAUAUUUAGAAACUUGGUUUGUGGUGCACAAGUUCAGUGUUGGAUCACUAAAUAAUUGUCGCAGGUACCAUACGUGUAACUUCUUUCUUUUAUGUAUAUUCCUUUAUGGGAAGCAAUGUUGCCAUGGUAACUAGGACUUUACAGUUUCUUUACUACUUAAUGAUGUGAAUGAACUCCACGUUUUAUUGAACAUUACCAGGUUCAGUACUAUUUUUAUACUUAUUGAACUACAGGGAAUUUUAAUUUAAUAGCAUUCUAAAAGAGAUGUUGCUUGAACUGUAUAACUGUAUAAAUCAAACUACUUACACAGAAAACACCUCUAAACCAGAAUCUCUACCUGUAGUGCCACAGUCAUUUAUAUGAAGGUAUCUUGAUCAUGACUAGACUUGGAAGACCACCCUACUUGUGUCAAGACUUAAUGUUUCGUAUCCUACUUCUCACAGACUGCAGUGCCCAGCAUUAUUUGUAACCAUCAAACCAUAUUAUGUUUGUAACCAGCAUUGUGAUAUUCUGUAAUUGUAUUGCUAAAAUGAAAUAUUGACCUAAUAAAUAUAGUGUUCC
ensembl:lncRNA